CAAGCACCCCUGGCGAUUCUGUUGCAGAUGGUUUUCCGGGUGUCAUGUGAGAAGCAUUGAUCUACGAUCUGUUCCCCUUCCUGCUUCCUCUUCUCCUUUUUGCCCAUGUUCUGUUGCUAUCCAGAAGGAAAAGACUUUCUGAAGUGCUUCAUUCGUUAAGGGCACCGUUCUCACACAGGAUCUUUCCCCUGCAAGAUGUUCACCAGCAGAUCCAGAUUUACAUUGUACCAGCUUAGCAAACCCGGUAGAAAGGAAACAUCUUUUCCCAGUAGUUCCUGAAGAAGUUCUCAGACAUGGGCCACAUGUGUAGCCCUGAAUCAAUCACUGUGGCCAGGAUGAUGGAGUCUUCUCUUCGUUGAGUCCUGGUCAAAUGUUCUCCUUGAGUACUAGGACCAUGAAGUAGGCUCUGCCCAAAUUGCAUCAACUAAGAAGUGAUCCUGCAGGAAAAAUAAAGGUGAUAAUGGCAUAAGACAAAGGAAUGGAUACUGAGCAGGCAGAAGCAACAGAUGGCCACUACAGUUAUGAAGUAUAUCAUAGGAGCACAUGGGAGAAGCAGUCAAAUUCCCUGAUCCUUCAUAGUGUCUUUUUACACAGAAAUUGCCACAUCUGGUUGUGUUUGGUUUAUCCAUGGUUUGGAAUGAGUCAGGAAAUCACAAGCAGUUGUGCUUGAACUUUGUAAACUACAGAACCACUAGGAUAGUGCUGAAAAUCUGUUUCCCUUCUCUCUCUGCACCUCAGACCUGGGAGAGCAGCUCUAGGCAUUGCUUUGCCCCUCUGAAGGCUCACAAGCCUGAGGCAGCCUGGAGCCCUGCCCAGAAGACACCCUGUUAAACACAGAGAUGAAGUUAUCACUGGCUUGGCAAAUUCUUCUCUGGCUGUUUUAUGAUAAUACCAUCAGCCAAGGAGAUGAAGCAAGGCUUGGCGCUUCAGAACAAUGAAGCCCCUUGGUGGAACAGCAUAGACCUUGGAAAAAAGAACUUUGAG
rnacentral:lncRNA from 10 species